rnacentral:rRNA from 1 species
GGAGGGCGCAAGCGUUAAUCGGAAUUACCGGGCGUAAAGCGCGCGUAGGCGGCUAAGUAAGUCGGAUGUGAAAGCCCUGGGCUCAACCUGGGAAUUGCAUUCGAUACUGCUUGACUAGAGUAUGGUAGAGGGAAGUGGAAUUUCCGGUGUAGCGGUGAAAUGCGUAGAUAUCGGAAGGAACACCAGUGGCGAAGGCGACUUCCUGGGCCAAUACUGACGCUGAGGUGCGAAAGCGUGGGGAGCAAACAGGGAUUAGAUACCCUGGUAGUCCACGCCGUAAACGAUGAGAACUAGAUGUUGGGAGGGUUACCUCUCGGUGUCGCAGCUAACGCGUUAAGUUCUCCGCCUGGGGGAGUACGCCGGCAACGGUA